UAAGGUCACAUUAGUUUAAUUAGAGCUAAUUCAAUCCUCGUGGGAACGAUACUUGGACUCAUAGUCCAUUUUACUACUUGUUAACGAACCGUACACUUGCGGUGGGUUUUAAAAUCGAGAAGAAAUAUUUUGCGAACAAGUUUUUGGCGCCGUUGCCGGGGAUUAAAUUUUAGAUUUAAUUCUAACUUUUGUGACACUAAUUCGAACUUAUUCAUUUUAGUACUUAUUAAUUUUAUUAGAUUUAUUUAAUU
rnacentral:lncRNA from 1 species